CGCUGGCGGCACGCUUAACACAUGCAAGUCGAACGGAGAACUUUUGGUUACUGAGAGUUCUUAGUGGCGGACGGGUGAGUAACACGUGAGCAACCUGCCUCUGAGAGAGGGAUAGCUUCUGGAAACGGAUGGUAAUACCUCAUGACAUAACUGAAGGGCAUCCUUUGGUUAUCAAAGAUUCAUCACUCAGAGAUGGGCUCGCGUCUGAUUAGGUAGAUGGUGAGGUAACGGCCCACCAUGCCGACGAUCAGUAGCCGGACUGAGAGGUUGAACGGCCACAUUGGGACUGAGACACGGCCCAGACUCCUACGGGAGGCAGCAGUGGGGAAUAUUGCACAAUGGGGGAAACCCUGAUGCAGCGAUGCCGCGUGGAGGAAGAAGGUUUUCGGAUUGUAAACUCCUGUCUUAAAGGACGAUAAUGACGGUACUUUAGGAGGAAGCUCCGGCUAACUACGUGCCAGCCGCCGC
rnacentral:rRNA from 1 species